rnacentral:rRNA from 1 species
UAACGAAUCUUCCGCAAUGCGCGAAAGCGUGACGGAGCAAUGCCGCGUGUGGGAUGAAGCGGCUUCGCCGUGUAAACCACUGUCAGGACCUCGGAAGAACUGACCUGGUCCAGAGGAAGGGCCGGCUAAUCUCGUGCCAGCAGCCGCGGUAAGACGAGAGGCCCGAGCGUUAGACGGAAUCACUGGGCUUAAAGGGUGCGUAGGCGGGCAUACAAGCAUCACGUGAAAUCCCUCGGCUCAACCGGGGAACUGCGCGGUGAACUGUGUGCCUUGAAGCGUGUAGGGGCCGCCGGAACGUACGGUGGAGCGGUGAAAUGCAUAGAUAUCGUACGGAACGUCGAUGGCGAAGGCGGGCGGCUGGGCACGACUUGACGCUGAGGCACGAAAGCGUGGGGAGCAAACAGGAUUAGAUACCCGUGUAGUCC